rnacentral:rRNA from 1 species
GGGCGUAGCAAUACGUCAGUGGCAGACGGGUGAGUAACGCGUGGGAACGUACCUUUUGGUUCGGAACAACACAGGGAAACUUGUGCUAAUACCGGAUAAGCCCUUACGGGGAAAGAUUUAUCGCCGAAAGAUCGGCCCGCGUCUGAUUAGCUAGUUGGUGAGGUAAAAGCUCACCAAGGCGACGAUCAGUAGCUGGUCUGAGAGGAUGAUCAGCCACAUUGGGACUGAGACACGGCCCAAACUCCUACGGGAGGCAGCAGUGGGGAAUAUUGGACAAUGGGCGAAAGCCUGAUCCAGCCAUGCCGCGUGAGUGAUGAAGGCCCUAGGGUUGUAAAGCUCUUUUGUGCGGGAAGAUAAUGACGGUACCGCAAGAAUAAGCCCCGGCUAACUUCGUGCCAGCAGCCGCGGUAAUACGAAGGGGGCUAGCGUUGCUCGGAAUCACUGGGCGUAAAGGGUGCGUAGGCGGGUUUUUAAGUCAGAGGUGAAAUCCUGGAGCUCAACUCCAGAACUGCCUUUGAUACUGAGAAUCUUGAGUUCGGGAGAGGUGAGUGGAACUGCGAGUGUAGAGGUGAAAUUCGUAGAUAUUCGCAAGAACACCAGUGGCGAAGGCGGCUCACUGGCCCGAUACUGACGCUGAGGCACGAAAGCGUGGGG